rnacentral:tRNA from 1 species
GUUGUGGCUCAGUGGUAGAGCACUUGUCUGACAUGUGUGAGGGUUCGAUCCUCAGUACUGCAUAUAAAUAAAUAAAUAAAAUAAAAGAUCCAUUUACAACUAAAUAUAUAUAUAUAUAUAUAUAUAUUUUUUUUUUUUUUAAUUAAUAAGGUGGGACUCGGGAUGUGGCUCAAGUGGUAGUGCGCUCUCCUGGCAUGCGUGAGGCACUGGGUUUGAUUCUCAGCACGACA